rnacentral:rRNA from 1 species
UACGUAGGAGACGAGCGUUGUCCGGAGUUACUGGGCGUAAAGGGCGCGUAGGUGGCGCGAGGAGUCUGUGGUGAAAGCCCGAGGCUCAACCUCGGAUCGGCCGUGGCGACUCGUGGGCUGGAGCACUGUAGAGGCGGGUGGAAUUCCGGGUGUAGCGGUGGAAUGCGUAGAGAUCCGGAAGAACACCAGUGGCGAAGGCGGCCCGCUGGGCAGUGGCUGACGCUGAGGCGCGACAGCGUGGGGAGCAAACAGG